UACAAUGUUUUGACUGCUCGUCUUAUUUGAAAUUGUUUUACAAUUAAUAUUUUUAUUCUUACUAGAUGAUAAAACAUGAAUAGUACUUUAUGCAUGAGUAUUUUUUUAAGUUUUUUAUAAAUUUUUCAAAUAAGACGAAUAGUCAAAUAUUGAACACGAAAAAAC
rnacentral:pre_miRNA from 1 species